rnacentral:rRNA from 1 species
UACGUAGGGACCGAGCGUUGUCCGGAAUUAUUGGGCGUAAAGAGCUCGUAGGCGGUUUGUCGCGUCGGCCGUGAAAUCUCCACGCUUAACGUGGAGCGUGCGGUCGAUACGGGCAGACUUGAGUUCGGUAGGGGAGACUGGAAUUCCUGGUGUAGCGGUGGAAUGCGCAGAUAUCAGGAGGAACACCGAUGGCGAAGGCAGGUCACUGGGUCGCAACUGACGCUGAGGAGCGAAAGCAUGGGGAGCGAACAGG